rnacentral:rRNA from 1 species
UACGUAGGGGGCAAGCGUUGUCCGGAUUUACUGGGCGUAAAGAGCGUGUAGGCGGCCAAACAGGUCUGUUGAUGAAACGUGGAGCUCAACCUCCAGACGUCGACGGAAACCGUGUGGCUAGAGUCCGGAAGAGGAGAGUGGAAUUCCUGGUGUAGCGGUGAAAUGCGCAGAUAUCAGGAAGAACACCAAUGGCGAGGCAGCUUUCUGGGACGGUAACUGACGCUGAGACGCGAAAGCGUGGGGAGCGAACAGG